GGUGUCAGCCGCCGCGGUAAUACCAGCACCCCGAGUGGUCGGGACGAUUAUUGGGCCUAAAGCAUCCGUAGCCGGUCAUGCAAGUCUUCCGUUAAAUCCAGCCGCUCAACGGUUGGGCUGCGGAGGAUACUACGUGGCUAGGAGGCGGGAGAGGCAAGCGGUACUCAGUGGGUAGGGGUAAAAUCCUUUGAUCCAUUGAAGACCACCAGUGGCGAAGGCGGCUUGCCAGAACGCGCUCGACGGUGAGGGAUGAAAGCUGGGGGAGCAAACCGGAUUAGAUACCCGGGUAGUCCCAGCUGUAAACGAUGCAGACUCGGUGAUGGGAUGGCCUCGAGCUAUCCCAGUGCCGCAGGGAAGCCGUUAAGUCUGCCGCCUGGGGAGUACGGUCGCAAGACUGAAACUUAAAGGAAUUGGCGGG
rnacentral:rRNA from 1 species